rnacentral:misc_RNA from 1 species
GAUGAAGAACGUAGCGAAAUGCGAUAAGUAAUGUGAAUUGCAGAAUUCAGUGAAUCAUCGAAUCUUUGAACGCACAUUGCGCCCUCUGGUAUUCCGGGGGGCAUGCCUGUUCGAGCGUCAUUAUAACCACUCAAGCUCUCGCUUGGUAUUGGGGUUCGCGGUUUCGCGGCCCCUAAAAUCAGUGGCGGUGCCUGUCGGCUCUACGCGUAGUAAUACUUCUCGCGAUUGAGUUCGAUAGGUCUACUUGCCAGUAACCCCCAAUUUUUACAGGUUGACCUCGGAUCAGGUAGGGAUACCCGCUGAAAUUAAGCAUAUCAAUAAGCGGAGGA